rnacentral:lncRNA from 10 species
UUUCAAGAUGAUGAUUAUUCCCCACCUUCUAGGACACAAAGACCAACGAGCCACCACAGCCACCAGUCCCAGAACCCGCUAAUGCUGGGGAACGGAAAAUGAGGGAGUUCAACUCUAAAUGGAAUAAUUGUAUCGCUCAUCUACGUAAACAAAUUGAAGAAUUGUCUGAAAGAAAAUAUCGAGCUGUAAAAGCCAAAGGUCCGGUGAUGAUCCCAUACCCUUUUUUCCAGUCUCAUGUUGAAGAUUUUUAUGUAGAAGGCCUUCCCAAAGGAAUUUUUUUUAGGCUUUCUACUAAUGGAAUUCCUGGCCUUGAGAGGAUAUUACUUUCGACGGAAAGGAUUUUUUUGUUAUUAAAA